rnacentral:tRNA from 1 species
GCUUGUAUAGUUUAACAAAAAUUUGGACUUGUGGCGUCCGGGAUAUAGAUUUAUCUAUUAUAGGCA